AGAGACUUAGGAUAACAUUUAGACCGUGGGCCUUCAAAGCCCUCAGCGGGAGUGAAAAUCUCCCAGUCCCUG
rnacentral:tRNA from 1 species